UUUAUCGGAGAGUUUGAUCCUGGCUCAGGACGAACGCUGGCGGCGUGCCUAAUACAUGCAAGUCGAGCGGACAGAUGGGAGCUUGCUCCCUGAUGUUAGC
rnacentral:rRNA from 3 species